GGGAGGGGUCAAAGUUACUCUGCCCGGGGGAAAGUGCGGGUCCGGGGGGGACGCGAGUAGCAGCGCGGCCGCCUCGCUCCCCAGGGCUUUCUGCUGGGCUCUGGUGUACUUUCCUCCACUAGUCAUGCAGCUUCCCUCCCACCUGAGCCUGGGAACUCCUGGCACUUAACUGUGGAGAGCCUCUUCCUCUGUACCGCUCAUCUUCAGGCAGCAAAACCUGGCUUCAGUAAAACAGCGCUUCCCGUUCCAAACCGGCCUUCCUUUCUCCAGUGUGUUGGGAUCUUUACAGCAGCCCAUGCUGCAGCGCCUCGCCUGUUCCACUCGAACUGCCUGCACCGCUGGCUUGGACCUUACCUAGGAUAAAUCUCAGCGU
rnacentral:lncRNA from 1 species